rnacentral:rRNA from 1 species
ACUCCUACGGGAGGCAGCAGUGGGAAUAUUGCACAAUGGGAACCGUAGCAUGCAGCAACGCCGCGUGGAGGAUGACACAUUUCGGUGCGUAAACUCCUUUUAUAUAGGAAGAUAAUGACGGUACUAUAUGAAUAAGCGCCGGCUAACUCCGUGCCAGCAGCCGCGGUAAUACGGAGGGCGCAAGCGUUACUCGGAAUCACUGGGCGUAAAGAGCGUGUAGGCGGAUAGAUAAGUCAGGAGUGAAAUCCUAUGGCUCAACCAUAGAACUGCUUUUGAAACUGGUAACCUAGAGUAUGGGAGAGGUAGAUGGAAUUUCUGGUGUAGGGGUGAAAAUCCGUAGAGAUCAGAAGGAGUACCGAUUGCGAAGGCGAUCUACUGGAACAUUACUGACGCUGAGACGCGAAAGCGUGGGGAGCAAACAGGAUUAGAUACCCUGUAGACUGUC